CAGUCUCCUGUACACGGCCUGUGAGGACCCUCACUCCAGGAUCAGCUCUCAUUUUCGUGGAUUGGGACCUGCCCUUUGGUGAUAUUGGGAAUGUUGGAGGAGCAAUGCCUGGAUCUCCCUCUAUGCUGCCCAUGAGGCUAUCUGCAUCUUUCACCUUUCCAGGUGGAGUGGGCAGGGAACUCAAGUCCGGGAAGGGUGAAUGUUGUGUCCGAGCAGGGUCUGAGCAUAGCCUGCGGGUCUCUUCUCCUGCUCCUAGACUGGCGUACUUGUCAGGAAAGUUCAGCUGUCCCCUGACUGCAAUGGGACGCUCUCGUUCCUUCAGAUAAGGAAAAUGAGACAUGAAGAGGUUAAGUUGUCCAAGGUCACGUGCAGGGUCUGGGAGUUCCUCCGCCUCUGUUAGAGAUUCUCUGAUAAAGUUGACAAUUAGAGCAGAAGAAAUUGCUGUACUGAAGAAACCAAAUUUGACAAAGUCAGCCUCCCAGCCGUGUCUGUUUUUGCCUGUGCACAGAGCAGACAGCUAGAGACCACAGUCAGCUCUCUAGAGCUAUUUAUUGAACGAAAAAAUAGACCAGAAAGAAUUACUCUUGAAGAGAAAUCUAUUUCAAAAAGUGAGUCGGCAGCUAGUAUAAGUUUUAAAAUAUUUUAUUUACUGAACAUUUUUUUUUCUCCUUUAUUAUUGGAGGAAAUGCCCAGCUUUUUCUAGCCAGUAUCACCAAGAUUUUUCUAUUUUUUUUUUUUUGGUAAGAAAAUGAUACAAUUCUGGCACAUUUUUCAGGAAAGUUUAUUUUAAAAUUCCCAGGAUUCUGUUUAAGUGGUUUGAGAAUUGGAGCAAAUGAUAACAAGAGCAGCUGAGAAAUGAGGUUUUGGCCUAGUUAUUGUCUAACCAGGUGGGUUGGGGUCCUUGAACUUUAAGAAGCUUUUGUGUUUCCAGCUGUACCAGGAGGAUUAGUGGCUUAGUCCUACCUCAUGGGAGCAAGUUUUAUUGUUACCUCUUAUAAGGCUGAAACCAUAGUGUUAGGGGUUUUUACACAGCACCAUCUGCUUCAGGAUCUCAACAUGCUUGCUUGGAGUUUUUUUACCCCCCGAGUUCCUCCCUCCAAAUAAGGUCAGUAUCUGGAAGAGUGAAUUCACUCUGGACAUAGCAACAGAUGUGCCUGGUGAUAUGUAAAAUGCAAUCGGUUAGUUAUCAAUCAAUUACGUGGCCAUUGAACAUCUAAUCCAGGCAAG